rnacentral:rRNA from 1 species
UACGGGGGGAGCAAGCGUUGUUCGGAUUUACUGGGCGUAAAGGGCGCGUAGGCGGUCGUGACAAGUCACUUGUGAAAUCUCCGGGCUUAACUCGGAAAGGUCAAGUGAUACUGUCGGACUAGAGUACAGAAGGGGCAACUGGAAUUCUCGGUGUAGCGGUGAAAUGCGUAGAUAUCGAGAGGAACACCUGCGGCGAAGGCGGGUUGCUGGGCUGACACUGACGCUGAGGCGCGAAAGCCAGGGGAGCAAACGGG